UCGGAUGUGGUGCACGGUGCAUAUCAGCUCAUCGUAAACUCGAACCAUCGUCAGGCUGAGGACCGGGGUUCGACUCCCCGCAUCCGAA